UUAAGGGCGCACGGUGGAUGCCUUGGCACUAGAAGCCGAUGAAGGACGUUACUAACGACGAUAUGCUUUGGGGAGCUGUAAGUAAGCUUUGAUCCAGAGAUUUCCGAAUGGGGAAACCCAGCAUGAGUUAUGUCAUGUUAUCGAUAUGUGAAUACAUAGCAUAUCAGAAGGCACACCCGGAGAACUGAAACAUCUUAGUACCCGGAGGAAGAGAAAGAAAAUUCGAUUCCCUUAGUAGCGGCGAGCGAAACGGGAAGAGCCCAAACCAACAAGCUUGCUUGUUGGGGUUGUAGGACACUCUAUACGGAGUUACAAAGGACGACAUUAGACGAAUCAUCUGGAAAGAUGAAUCAAAGAAGGUAAUAAUCCUGUAGUCGAAAAUGUUGUCUCUCUUGAGUGGAUCCUGAGUACGACGGAGCACGUGAAAUUCCGUCGGAAUCUGGGAGGACCAUCUCCUAAGGCUAAAUACUCUCUAGUGACCGAUAGUGAACCAGUACCGUGAGGGAAAGGUGAAAAGCACCCCGGAAGGGGAGUGAAAUAGAACCUGAAACCGUGUGCUUACAAGUAGUCAGAGCCCGUUAAUGGGUGAUGGCGUGCCUUUUGUAGAAUGAACCGGCGAGUUACGAUUUGAUGCAAGGUUAAGCAGUAAAUGUGGAGCCGUAGCGAAAGCGAGUCUGAAUAGGGCGUUUAGUAUUUGGUCGUAGACCCGAAACCAGGUGAUCUACCCUUGGUCAGGUUGAAGUUCAGGUAACACUGAAUGGAGGACCGAACCGACUUACGUUGAAAAGUGAGCGGAUGAACUGAGGGUAGCGGAGAAAUUCCAAUCGAACCUGGAGAUAGCUGGUUCUCUCCGAAAUAGCUUUAGGGCUAGCCUCAAGUGAUGAUUAUUGGAGGUAGAGCACUGUUUGGACGAGGGGCCCCUCUCGGGUUACCGAAUUCAGACAAACUCCGAAUGCCAAUUAAUUUAACUUGGGAGUCAGAACAUGGGUGAUAAGGUCCGUGUUCGAAAGGGAAACAGCCCAGACCACCAGCUAAGGUCCCAAAAUAUAUGUUAAGUGGAAAAGGAUGUGGCGUUGCCCAGACAACUAGGAUGUUGGCUUAGAAGCAGCCAUCAUUUAAAGAGUGCGUAAUAGCUCACUAGUCGAGUGACACUGCGCCGAAAAUGUACCGGGGCUAAACAUAUUACCGAAGCUGUGGAUUGUCCUUUGGACAAUGGUAGGAGAGCGUUCUAAGGGCGUUGAAGCAUGAUCGUAAGGACAUGUGGAGCGCUUAGAAGUGAGAAUGCCGGUGUGAGUAGCGAAAGACGGGUGAGAAUCCCGUCCACCGAUUGACUAAGGUUUCCAGAGGAAGGCUCGUCCGCUCUGGGUUAGUCGGGUCCUAAGCUGAGGCCGACAGGCGUAGGCGAUGGAUAACAGGUUGAUAUUCCUGUACCACCUAUAAUCGUUUUAAUCGAUGGGGGGGGACGCAGUAGGAUAGGCGAAGCGUGCGAUUGGAUUGCACGUCUAAGCAGUAAGGCUGAGUAUUAGGCAAAUCCGGUACUCAUUAAGGCUGAGCUGUGAUGGGGAGAAGACAUUGUGUCUUCGAGUCGUUGAUUUCACACUGCCGAGAAAAGCCUCUAGAUAGAAAAUAGGUGCCCGUACCGCAAACCGACACAGGUAGUCAAGAUGAGAAUUCUAAGGUGAGCGAGCGAACUCUCGUUAAGGAACUCGGCAAAAUGACCCCGUAACUUCGGGAGAAGGGGUGCUCUUUAGGGUUAACGCCCAGAAGAGCCGCAGUGAAUAGGCCCAAGCGACUGUUUAUCAAAAACACAGGUCUCUGCUAAACCGUAAGGUGAUGUAUAGGGGCUGACGCCUGCCCGGUGCUGGAAGGUUAAGAGGAGUGGUUAGCUUCUGCGAAGCUACGAAUCGAAGCCCCAGUAAACGGCGGCCGUAACUAUAACGGUCCUAAGGUAGCGAAAUUCCUUGUCGGGUAAGUUCCGACCCGCACGAAAGGCGUAACGAUUUGGGCACUGUCUCAACGAGAGACUCGGUGAAAUCAUAGUACCUGUGAAGAUGCAGGUUACCCGCGACAGGACGGAAAGACCCCGUGGAGCUUUACUGUAGCCUGAUAUUGAAAUUCGGCACAGCUUGUACAGGAUAGGUAGGAGCCUUUGAAACGUGAGCGCUAGCUUACGUGGAGGCGCUGGUGGGAUACUACCCUAGCUGUGUUGGCUUUCUAACCCGCACCACUUAUCGUGGUGGGAGACAGUGUCAGGCGGGCAGUUUGACUGGGGCGGUCGCCUCCUAAAAGGUAACGGAGGCGCUCAAAGGUUCCCUCAGAAUGGUUGGAAAUCAUUCAUAGAGUGUAAAGGCAUAAGGGAGCUUGACUGCGAGACCUACAAGUCGAGCAGGGUCGAAAGACGGACUUAGUGAUCCGGUGGUUCCGUAUGGAAGGGCCAUCGCUCAACGGAUAAAAGCUACCCCGGGGAUAACAGGCUUAUCUCCCCCAAGAGUUCACAUCGACGGGGAGGUUUGGCACCUCGAUGUCGGCUCAUCGCAUCCUGGGGCUGUAGUCGGUCCCAAGGGUUGGGCUGUUCGCCCAUUAAAGCGGUACGCGAGCUGGGUUCAGAACGUCGUGAGACAGUUCGGUCCCUAUCCGUCGUGGGCGUAGGAAAUUUGAGAGGAGCUGUCCUUAGUACGAGAGGACCGGGAUGGACAUACCUCUGGUGUACCAGUUGUCGUGCCAACGGCAUAGCUGGGUAGCUAUGUGUGGACGGGAUAAGUGCUGAAAGCAUCUAAGCAUGAAGCCCCCCUCAAGAUGAGAUUUCCCAACUUCGGUUAUAAGAUCCCUCAAAGAUGAUGAGGUUAAUAGGUUCGAGGUGGAAGCAUGGUGACAUGUGGAGCUGACGAAUACUAAUCGAUCGAAGACUUAAUC
rnacentral:rRNA from 1 species